rnacentral:lncRNA from 1 species
GUGCGCCUUCCUUUAAGCACCUCUGUUCGAACGCCUAUCCUGUCCUUAAUCCAUACCACAUACAGCCAUUUGCGGAUCUUUUCAGUGUCCAUGUGAAAGAUAGUUAUUGCGAGGAUGGAACAUUUGUUGACAAAAAAAUAAAUAAAUUGUUAACACCCAUGUAAAAUGAAGCUUACAGAUUUAAGUCUAAUAGCAUGAGAUGAAAGUAGACAAACAUCAGAGUGUGCGAUAUUAAGGUAUAGUCAGUGGACAUUCUGAACCUUGUUUGAGGUCAGUAGGUCACAUGACCAAGGAGCUAUUGAAAUUCUACAUUUUGAAGAAUUCAUGUAAAACCAUGUGAGAUGAAAAUUGACAAACUAAAGGGUGUGCAAUGUGCAGGGCCACUGAGUGGACAUUCUGAACCUUGUUUGAAGUCACUAGGUCACAUGACCAAGGAGCUAUUGAAAUUCUACAUUUUGGAAAAAUUCAUGUAAAACCAUAUGAGAUGAAAAUGGACAAACUAAAGGGCGUGCAAUAUAGAAGGGUAGUCAGUGGACAUUCUGAAUGUAAAAUGUAAAAAAAAGUUUGUACUUUGUUUACGCUCCCUAACUAAUUCAAUUUAGGAAUACAAAAUGUUGCUCACAUUUCCACGUUUAUUAGCUUUGGAAAGCGAAUUAAUGUCCAAAUCGUGAAAAUAAAACCUGUGCAAUGUUGUGCACAUUUUUUUUUCAACAUCAUGACACUUAUUUGGAGUCUGUGGCUCAAGUGGUUUGAAAGCGCGAAUAUCCUAUUUGUCUUUACCUCGGUUGUCAUUGGGUGAGUGACUGACUUCACCUCAUAUUGUUUUGUCGGUAGCUACAGUGAGAGAUGCAGGUGUCCUUUUGGUUAGCGAACAAGAAAUGUGAAUCGCUUUGCUAGCUAAUUAUGCUGAACGACUGUUAUCCACAGUUAUGUAUUUGGUAUCGAUCAAAUGGGCAGGCAGGAAGGCAAGUUCACAUUCAGUUGUCAAGACGUGGGUUUGGACAAACAUGCAUUGUCAGAUCCUGAGGACAAACAUCCUUCUGCAUCAAGGUCAACUUUUGUUUCUUUUCAAAGGGCCACAUUUUUGCCCCUUGCUAUGUCUAUAUUUGUCCCUCUCUCACAGUGCUGAAUACAUGCUAAAUGUAAUAACAUUGUCCAGGUCCUUUCUCAUGUUCAGACAGACUAUAUCCCACUACCUAAACUUGCGGUCAGCCUACAGCUAAUUCAUCCCUGCAACAGACUGAGCUGACCACCAUGCACUCUGAGGAUGGAUCUACGGUCGACGACAUCUUCUACUCCAAGGCUGGGCAAUUCUGGUGCUGAUCAGAAAGGGGCAUAUAUCCAAAAUAAUUACAUAAAUAACCUUUGAUAUUGACCUUGAGUCUAGUUAGUAUAUAGAGAAAGAAGAAUUGAGCUAUGGCUUAACAAAAAAAUUGUUUCAGGUGGAGGUCAACGGCAGAGCGGAGGUUUGAAGCUGCUUGGUCGUCUCUCCCCCCAAUUAGAGGAGGAUCUCUGGUCAAUGAAAGGUUUACCCAAUUAAUUGUUCCCUUCGGACCAUCUCAGUCUCCUGGCCAGGUUCCAGCUGGACUGAAACCCUGUGUAAUUUGGGCUGUUUGUGAUCAAUUAAUAAUCAGGAGGACCGAGGUCAAGUAUUUAAAAAUGUUUGUUCAAACUGUACAUGAUUUUCCCAUGGUGUGAUUCCAUGUUUUAUAAGUUCAUAAUUGUACUUAAUUGGUUCCUUGGGCUCACAUGGUUGUUUCCUACCUGAAGAGAAACUACUCAUCCCAAGGUCCAGAGGGGAUGGGAUGUCCUCUGAAGAAUUGUUUUUGUUUACAUGAAGAGAGAGCAAAACAAACCAAAAAGGUUGAAUUUAGUUCAAAGUUGGAAUUUAUUUGACAAAUUCUCUUACUGUUGAGAUUUGAAUGCAUGAAGCUUUUAGAUUUUAAAAGUUAAUAUUUUGUGAACAAACUGAGUAAACAAUCUGCUACACUAGUAAAUUAGAACAUUUAAAUCUUUACAAACUGUGUUUGAUGCGUUUUGUCCCUCUGGCUUUGGGCCAGUCGUAGUAUUAUUUUUCAAAUGAUAGAAAUAUUGAAUUCAUAUUUUCCAUAUACCAAUAUCAGUUUGGCAGUAUUUUGGGAAGAUCUACAUCCUGUCUUGCCUGGCUGAGAUGGUGUUAAUCCGUGACAAGGACUGACGAGUUGUGCGUUCCGAGAUGCUGUUCUGCACACCACUUAUGUACUGCGCCAUUAUUUGCCUGUUUGUGGCCCACCUGUUAGCUUGCACAAUUCUUGCCAUUCUCCAAUUUUUUUGUUGGUCGCACCAUUCUCGGUAAACCCUAGACAAUGUCGUGCAUGAAAACCCCAGGAGGCUAGCCGUUUCUGAGAUACUGGAACAGAUGCGCCUGGCACCGACGAGCAUACCACGCUCAAAGUCGCUGAGGUCACUUGUUUUGCCCAUCCUAACGUUCAGUAGAACAGUAACUGAAUGCCUCAAUGCCUGUCUGCUUUUUUAUAGCAGGCCACGUGACUCACUGUCUGUAGGCGCAAACCAUUUUUGUGUACCUAAUAAACUGGCCACAGUGUAUAUUUCCACACUAUGAGGUUGGAAUAAUACUGUGAAAAUGAUAAUGCCCUUUUAGUGUAAGAGCUGAAAUGUCAGCCUGUUUAGAUGGGAUGGAGUUUCGGCCUGCCUGGUGACAUCACCAUGCUGUAAAUUAGAUAAUACAUAGACCAU